UGAAAAAAAUGCAGAAGAAAAUCUACUGUUGAAAAGGAAUUAGCGUAGAAGGAGCUGCAAUUUUGUUUCGCAGAUGACAUGACGCCAUGGUGAGGGGGAAGUGAUUCUGCUUAGAAAUGGAAUUUAGCAAUUUACCAAAGCAAGCAUCAUUGGUUGGUGGCAACUUUGCUUUGAUGCAGAUAGUGAGACAUGUCAAUUUCAACCCAUUUACUAAUCAUAACAUUUAUCAGAUGUUAACUACUGGAUUAAGCAACUACUAAUACUAGCAACUGGUGAGGAGAGGGUGGAAAUAGUUCACUUACUGCCUUGUCAAAUUCAUAGACCCAAUUGCAUGAUAGUUGCAAAAACCAUCUUCAAGCCUGUGCUUAUUUAUAGCACUUUGGUGAGAUUUAAGUGAUUAAAUUUAAAGCAGAAAGGAGAAUCUUGUAACUGGUAGUUCACAUUAUGAGCAGAAUGGUGUGGUGGUUAAAGUGGGAAGCCAAAUGAUGAAUCUAAGUGGGGAGCAUGAAUAAUGAUUAUUUCUUUCAAA
rnacentral:misc_RNA from 1 species